rnacentral:rRNA from 1 species
AGUGAACGCUGGCGGUAGGCCUAACACAUGCAAGUCGAACGGCAGCACAGUAAGAGCUUGCUCUUACGGGUGGCGAGUGGCGGACGGGUGAGGAAUACAUCGGAAUCUACUUUUUCGUGGGGGAUAACGUAGGGAAACUUACGCUAAUACCGCAUACGACCUACGGGUGAAAGCAGGGGAUCUUCGGACCUUGCGCGAUUGAAUGAGCCGAUGUCGGAUUAGCUAGUUGGCGGGGUAAAGGCCCACCAAGGCGACGAUCCGUAGCUGGUCUGAGAGGAUGAUCGGCGACAUGGGACCGGGGACAGGGCCCGGACCCUUAGGGGGGGCAGCGGGGGGGAAUUUGGGACAAGGGGGGCAAGCCGGGGCCGGCCAGACGGGGGGGGUGAAGAGGGCCUUCGGGUGGUAAAGCCCUUUUGUUGGGAAAGAAAAGCAGCAGGUUAAGACCCCGCUGUUCGGACGGGACCCAAAGAAGAAGCACCGGCUACCUUCGU